AGAGUUUGAUCCUGGCUCAGGAUGAACGCCGGCGGCGUGCCUAAUACAUGCAAGUCGAGCGAACAGAUGAGAAGCUUGCUUCUCUGAUGUUAGCGGCGGACGGGUGAGUAACACGUGGGUAACCUACCUAUAAGACUGGGAUAACUCCGGGAAACCGGGGCUAAUACCGGAUAAUAUUUUGAACCGCAUGGUUCAAUAGUGAAAGACGGUUUCGGCUGUCACUUAUAGAUGGACCCGCGCCGUAUUAGCUAGUUGGUAAGGUAACGGCUUACCAAGGCGACGAUACGUAGCCGACCUGAGAGGGUGAUCGGCCACACUGGAACUGAGACACGGUCCAGACUCCUACGGGAGGCAGCAGUAGGGAAUCUUCCGCAAUGGGCGAAAGCCUGACGGAGCAACGCCGCGUGAGUGAUGAAGGUCUUCGGAUCGUAAAACUCUGUUGUUAGGGAAGAACAAAUUUGUUAGUAACUGAACAAGUCUUGACGGUACCUAACCAGAAAGCCACGGCUAACUACGUGCCAGCAGCCGCGGUAAUACGUAGGUGGCAAGCGUUAUCCGGAAUUAUUGGGCGUAAAGCGCGCGUAGGCGGUUUCUUAAGUCUGAUGUGAAAGCCCACGGCUCAACCGUGGAGGGUCAUUGGAAACUGGGAAACUUGAGUGCAGAAGAGGAGAGUGGAAUUCCAUGUGUAGCGGUGAAAUGCGCAGAGAUAUGGAGGAACACCAGUGGCGAAGGCGGCUCUCUGGUCUGUAACUGACGCUGAUGUGCGAAAGCGUGGGGAUCAAACAGGAUUAGAUACCCUGGUAGUCCACGCCGUAAACGAUGAGUGCUAAGUGUUAGGGGGUUUCCGCCCCUUAGUGCUGCAGCUAACGCAUUAAGCACUCCGCCUGGGGAGUACGACCGCAAGGUUGAAACUCAAAGGAAUUGACGG
rnacentral:rRNA from 1 species